rnacentral:rRNA from 1 species
AUUGAACGCUGGCGGCAGGCUUAACACAUGCAAGUCGAGCGGGGUGAUGGUGCUUGCACUAUCACUUAGCGGCGGACGGGUGAGUAAUGCUUAGGAAUCUGCCUAUUAGUGGGGGGCAACAUCUCGAAAGGGAUGCUAAUACCGCAUACGUCCUACGGGAGAAAGCAGGGGAUCACUUGUGACCUUGCGCUAAUAGAUGAGCCUAAGUCGGAUUAGCUAGUUGGGGGGGUAAAGGCCUACCAAGGCGACGAUCUGUAGCGGGUCUGAGAGGAUGAUCCGCCACACUGGGACUGAGACACGGCCCAGACUCCUACGGGAGGCAGCAGUGGGGAAUAUUGGACAAUGGGGGGAACCCUGAUCCAGCCAUGCCGCGUGUGUGAAGAAGGCCUUAUGGUGUAAAGCACUUUAAGCGAGGAGGAGGCUCUUUUGGUUAAUACCCAAGAUGAGUGGACGUUACUCGCAGAAUAAGCACCGGCUAACUCUGUGCCAGCCGCCGCAGUAA